UGUGCACACACCCUAGAAGUGUCCCGAAGGUGAAAUUUUGGAGUGUUGGCCAGGAGGAGGAUACAGUACUGUUGGAGGUCCAUACAGUAUGAUAACAUUUCCCUAGAUGUCAACACCAUCUACCGACCUGCCACACGUAGGAACACCCGUUUCGUACCAACACUUACAGUGUCACACACUGAAGUCACCUUUCAACCCAAUGAUUGACAGUUCCUACAAUAUGAUAAAAAAAAUCAUAUUAUAACCCAAACGUCAUUAAAAACAGAGAGACCUGAACAGUCUGAUGAUGAGAUAAUAACGUCCACAACAACGCUGCUGAAGGACAUGAUGAAGGAGCAACAAAACUGGAGGUCACACUCGGUGGACUGGGACACUUCGGGUCCAAGGUGCUGUACGUGUAUAUAAAAGAAACCAAGGAGC